rnacentral:tRNA from 1 species
GCGCCUGUAGCUCAGUUGGUUAGAGUGCAUGCUUGACAUGCAUGAGGUCACAGGUUCGAGUCCUGUCAGGCGCAC